AUUGAACGCUAGCGGGAUGCCUUACACAUGCAAGUCGAACGGCAGCGCGGACUUCGGUCUGGCGGCGAGUGGCGAACGGGUGAGUAAUGUAUCGGAACGUGCCCAGUAGCGGGGGAUAACUACUCGAAGGAGUAGCUAAUACCGCAUACGCCCUACGGGGGAAAGGGGGGGAUCGCAAGACCUCUCACUAUUGGAGCGGCCGAUAUCGGAUUAGCUAGUUGGUGAGGUAAAGGCUCACCAAGGCGACGAUCCGUAGCUGGUUUGAGAGGACGACCAGCCACACUGGGACUGAGACACGGCCCAGACUCCUACGGGAGGCAGCAGUGGGGAAUUUUGGACAAUGGGGGCAACCCUGAUCCAGCCAUUCCGCGUGUGCGAUGAAGGCCUUCGGGUUGUAAAGCACUUUUGGCAGGAAAGAAAUCGCACGGAUUAAUACUCUGUGUGGAUGACGGUACCUGCAGAAUAAGCACCGGCUAACUACGUGCCAGCCGCCGCGGUAACAC
rnacentral:rRNA from 1 species